rnacentral:rRNA from 1 species
GUCCACGCCGUAAACUAUGAGAACUAGAUUUGGGGGGAGUUUGACCCCUUCCGAAUCGAAGCGAACGCAUUAAGUUCUCCGCCUGGGAAGUACGGUCGCAAGACUAAAACUCAAAGGAAUUGACGGGGCCCGCACAAGCGGUGGAUUAUGUGGUUUAAUUCGAAGCAACGCGAAGAACCUUACCUAGGUUUGAAAUCCUGAGAAUCUUCCGGAAAUGGAGGAGUGCCCUUCGGGGAAUUCAGUGACAGGUGCUGCAUGGCUGUCGU